UACGUAGGGCGCAAGCGUUAUCCGGAAUUAUUGGGCGUAAAGAGCUCGUAAGCGGUUUGUCGCGUCUGCCGUGAAAGUCCGGGGCUCAACUCCGGAUCUGCGGUGGAUACGGGCAGGCUAGAGUGAUGUAGGGGAGACUGGAAUUCCUGGUGUAGCGGUGAAAUGCGCAGAUAUCAGGAGGAACACCGGUGGCGAAGGCGGGUCUCUGGGCCGAUACUGACGCUGAGGAGCGAAAGCGUGGGGAGCGAACAGG
rnacentral:rRNA from 1 species